GAACGAGAAAGUGGGGCAAUCCAUGAGUAAAGUGGCGACCGGGUGAGUAACACGUGACUAACCUACCCUUGAGUGGGGGAUAACCUCGGGAAACCGGGGCUAAUACCGCAUAACAUCGCAAGAUCAAAGGAGCAAUCCGCUGAAGGAGGGGGUCGCGGCUGAUUAGUUAGUUGGUGAGGUAACGGCUCACCAAGACGAAGAUCAGUAGCCGGCCUGAGAGGGCGCACGGCCACACUGGAACUGAAACACGGUCCAGACUCCUACGGGAGGCAGCAGUGGGGAAUUUUGCGCAAUGGGGGAAACCCUGACGCAGCAACGCCGCGUGGAGGAUGAAGUCCCUUGGGAUGUAAACUCCUUUCGAUCGGGAAGAUAAUGACGGUACCGGAAGAAGAAGCACCGGCUAACUCUGUG
rnacentral:rRNA from 1 species